CGCGAGGUGCGGGGCGAGGAAACUUCCUGCAGCGCGUGGACGGAGUAGGCGCCCGCUGCGCAUGUGGGACCUGGUCCCUCUCACUCCCCGCUCCCGCGCGCGGGCUGCCGCGGGGUCGCGUUGCCGGUGCUCUCCGCUCUUCGGAAUCCUGCAAGGCCGGCCCCCGGGUUGCUGUUCUUCCCGGGGCGGAGAUUUGGGCGCAGCCCGGGUCGCACACAGCGCGCCUCCUUUCUCAGAAUGAAAAUGGAGGUUUUUACUAAGCACAGUGAAUGGUGAAGAUAGUUUACUGGAAAUUUUUGACUCUGGAGACUAAUUGAAAUCCACUAGAAUGCAUCCUCUGAAAACAAGUGAAAGGGACUGCUAAAAUGUGAUCCAUUGGAAGGGUCAAAUACAGAUUGCUUGCUACAUGUGAAGGAAUUAGCACUCCCAGGGACCAGUCCUCUACAAGUGACUUUUGCCUUUGGUAGGUAACUAUUCCAGCUCCCCUGCCCUUUGGAUGGGGGUAAUUCUGGGUCCUGAGUUUUGUGCCAUUUCCCAGAGUUUCCUCAUGAAAUUGAGGUCCAGUUGCCAACUAUGGUAACUGAUUUAACAGUAAAUCCUGCAUUAGCUCCUUCCCUUCCCUGUAGCUCUUCCUUUCUGCCUGAUUGGUUCUCUAGUAACCGAAUACCCAAAUCCAUUAUAUUGGAGUCUGCUUCUGGGGGAA